AUGCUCGGCACUGAUUUAUGUCCGAACAGUUUAUGGCAGGCUUACUCCUGGUGUUAUGCUUACUUUCCACAUGGGGAGAUUUUCUACACAGUUGGCAUUGAUGCCUUGUGCUGGGCUAUUUGGACAUGUCGUAAUGGUGUUAUGUUCGAAUCUAAACAUUUGCAAACACCUUUUGAAUGUUGCUUCUCCAUGUGUGCCUUUCUUGGUUACUGGGCAGGACUGUUGAAGCAAGAGGAUGCGGUGGACCUGCGAACUGGUGUGGACAUGCUGAAGAACAGUGCGUCGAGGCUGAUGCGCAUCUGCGCUGCGACUGAGGAUUGA
rnacentral:rRNA from 1 species